UGGUGCCAGCAGCCGCGGUAAUUCCAGCUCCAAUAGCGUAUAUUUAAGUUGUUGCAGUUAAAAAGCUCGUAGUUGGAUUUCUGGUCGGAACGCCGGUCCGGCUCCGCAAGGGGUCGUGUAUUGGUUUCUCCUGCCAUCCUCAGGGGGAGCUGCACUGGUAUUCAUUUAUCGGUGUGGUUACGCCUGUCGUUUACUGUGAACAAAUUAGAGUGUUCAAAGCAAGGUGUACUUGAAUACAUUAGCAUGGAAUAAUAAGAUAGGACUUUGGUGGUUCUUUUUGAUAUUUUGUUGGUUUGCACGCCAAAGUAAUGAUUAAUAGGAGCAGUUGGGGGUAUUCGUAUUCAAUUGUCAGAGGUGAAAUUCUUGGAUUUAUAGAAGACGAACUACUGCGAAAGCAUUUAUCAAGGAUGUUUUCAUUAAUCAAGAACGAAAGUUAGGGGAUCGAAGAUGAUUAGAUACCAUCGUAGUCUUAACCAUAAACUAUGCCGACUAGGGAUUGGCGGACGUUGUCUAUAUGACUUCGCCAGCACCUCAUGAGAAAUCAAAGUCUUUGGGUUCCGGGGGGAG
rnacentral:rRNA from 1 species